rnacentral:rRNA from 1 species
AGCAGUCGCCGCGGUAAUACAGAGGGUGCAAGCGUUAAUCGGAAUUACUGGGCGUAAAGCGCGCGUAGGUGGUUUGUUAAGUUGGAUGUGAAAUCCCCGGGCUCAACCUGGGAACUGCAUCCAAAACUGGCAAGCUAGAGUAUGGUAGAGGGUGGUGGAAUUUCCUGUGUAGCGGUGAAAUGCGUAGAUAUAGGAAGGAACACCAGUGGCGAAGGCGACCACCUGGACUGAUACUGACACUGAGGUGCGAAAGCGUGGGGAGCAAACAGGAUUAGAUACCCCUGUAGUCCCUGUCUCUUAUAC